UAAGGAAUAUUGCGCAAUGGGGGAAACCCUGACGCAGCAACGCCGCGUGGAGGAUGACACUUUUCGGAGCGUAAACUCCUUUUAUCAGGAAAGAAUAAUGACGGUACCUGAUGAAUAAGCACCGGCUAACUCCGUGCCAGCAGCCGCGGUAAUACGGGGGGUGCAAGCGUUACUCGGAAUCACUGGGCGUAAAGGACGCGUAGGCGGAUUAUCAAGUCUUUUGUUAAAUCUAGUGGCUUAACCACUAAACUGCUUAGGAAACUGAUAGGCUAGAGUAGGGGAGAGGUAGAUGGAAUUCUUGGUGUAGGGGUAAAAUCCGUAGAGAUCAAGAAGAAUACCCAUUGCGAAAGCGAUCUGCUGGAACCUAACUGACGCUGAGGCGUGAAAGCGUGGGUAGCAAACAGG
rnacentral:rRNA from 1 species